rnacentral:misc_RNA from 1 species
ACCAGCGUCCCGCCAAGCAACAAGUAGUUUUAACAACAAAGGUUGAGGUCGGCGCUGAGCACCCUUACUCUUUAAUGAUCUUCUUCCGUAAGGGGGACCUGCGGAAGGAUCAUUAAAGAGUAAGGGUGCUCAGCGCCCGACCUCCAACCCUUUGUUGUUAAAACUACCUUGUUGCUUUGGCGGGACCGCUCGGUCUCGAGCCGCCGGGGAUUCGUCCCAGGCGAGCGCCCGCCAGAGUUAAACCAAACUCUUGUUAUUUAACCGGUCGUCUGAGUAAAAAUUUUGAAUAAAUCAAAACUUUCAACAACGGAUCUCUUGGUUCUCGCAUCGAUGAAGAACGCAGCGAAAUGCGAUAAGUAAUGUGAAUUGCAGAAUUCAGUGAAUCAUCGAAUCUUUGAACGCACAUUGCGCCCCUUGGUAUUCCGAGGGGCAUGCCUGUUCGAGCGUCAUUACACCACUCAAGCUAUGCUUGGUAUUGGGCGUCGUCCUUAGUUGGGCGCGCCUUAAAGACCUCGGCGAGGCCACUCCGGCUUUAGGCGUAGUAGAAUUUAUUCGAACGUCUGUCAAAGGAGAGGAACUCUGCCGACUGAAACCUUUAUUUUUCUAGGUUGACCUCGGAUCAGGUAGGGAUACCCGCUGAACUUAA